rnacentral:lncRNA from 1 species
GUGGGAGCUCGAUCAGGAUCUGGGAGGUGGUCGAUCGCCGUAGAAACUUGGGUGGAGUCUGGUUACUGUGGAAACCUCAUUGUCGGGGAAGCUCGGAUGCUGACGAAGCCCGGAAGAAGUUCAAAGCAGGGUCGUCCGUGGCCGGAAGAAGUCCGAGAGAGACCCGGGGAAUGGUUGGCUACUGUAGGAGGUCGACUGUCAGCGAGGCCCAGGGAGCUUUUAGGGC